rnacentral:rRNA from 1 species
AUUGAACGCUGGCGGCAUGCCUUACACAUGCAAGUCGAACGGCAGCACGGGUGCUUGCACCUGGUGGCGAGUGGCGAACGGGUGAGUAAUACAUCUGAACAUGUCCUGUAGUGGGGGAUAGCCCGGCGAAAGCCGGAUUAAUACCGCAUACGAUCUACGGAUGAAAGCGGGGGACCUUCGGGCCUCGCGCUUUAGGGUUGGCCGAUGGCUGAUUAGCUAGUUGGUGGGGUAAAGGCCUACCAAGGCGACGAUCAGUAGCUGGUCUGAGAGGACGACCAGCCACACUGGGACUGAGACACGGCCCAGACUCCUACGGGAGGCAGCAGUGGGGAAUUUUGGACAAUGGGCGAAAGCCUGAUCCAGCAAUGCCGCGUGUGUGAAGAAGGCCUUCGGGUUGUAAAGCACUUUUGUCCGGAAAGAAAUCCUUGGCCCUAAUACGGUCGGGGGAUGACGGUACCGGAAGAAUAAGCACCGGCUAACUACGUG